ensembl:lncRNA
CUAUUUUUGGAUGAACUUUCACUUGAACAAACUUUCUCCUGCCUAAAAAAUAUGUGUCUGUCUUUCCAGGCACCUGCUACAGUAAGUCAUGGAAUAUUUGAGCUGUCUGUGUGACGUUAGCAUCACUCUCAACAAGCAAUCCUGAAAACAGCCAGGGUGUCUGACCUCUGAGAAAGAGCAAGAAGAACCCUGAAGGGCUGACACAAGGCAUGCACAGAUGGGCAUGCUUUACCUCCACUGACAGGCUGCUGAGGGUCCAGGAAAUGUCUGAGUCCACAUCCUGGUCACCGCUGUGCCUCAAAGAACCAGUUGCCACCAGAUCACUUCUCACUAAGUAACCAUGGUAAAAGAAAGAUGCUUUACAAGCACAGCAAGCACCUGAGUGGACGAUACAAGAAGUCCGCACAUCACUUUGUCUGGCUCCUCUGUCUUUGGGUUCACCUCCUGCCUCAAGUGGAUGGCUUCUUUAUGUCUGACACUAAGGCUGUCCUGCAAGGGUGUGAUGACCACUGGACUUUCCAGGAGCAGGGGCGUAUGCCUGUGCUCUUUCAAACUACGUUAUGUGUGGACAUACAGGUCCUUUCCCCAGGCGAGUGGACAGCAUUUACCUAUGUCUCAGCACCUGCACCCCGCUAUGAACUCGCCCUGCAAGGGGAUGCAAACAGCCUGUACGCCUGGCUGUUGGGUGUACGGCACCAGUUCACUGUCCAGCUGACCAUUCGUCACUGGUACCACAUAUGUCUACGGUGGGAUGCCCCUCGUAAAAGCUUCAGCCUGACGAUAGGUGGUAACUCAGAAGUAUACCAGCGGACCGCCAUUGCCCGAGCAAUCCCUCCUUCAGGGCGUCUUCUGCUGGGAUGCCAACCAAAUGAAGCCUCCCUUGUGGCGAAAAUGGCCACCGUGGAGCUCUACCUGUUUCGCAUAUGGGACGAUGUUGGAGAGCACAGGGCCUGUGAGGACGGGACAGUGAUUGGCUGGGACUCACGACUUUGGGCCAUCACACGAGCCCAGGCUAGAGUCCAAGAUUAUACGUUGCAAUGUGGAAAUUAA